rnacentral:rRNA from 1 species
UACGUAGGGUGCGAGCGUUGUCCGGAAUUAUUGGGCGUAAAGAGCUCGUAGGCGGUUUGUCGCGUCGACUGUGAAAACCCGGGGCUCAACUCCGGGCCUGCAGCCGAUACGGGCAGACUAGAGUGCGGUAGGGGAGACUGGAAUUCCUGGUGUAGCGGUGAAAUGCGCAGAUAUCAGGAGGAACACCAAUUGCGAAGGCAGCUCGCUGGGACGUUACUGACGCUGAGACGCGAAAGCGUGGGGAGCAAACAGG